rnacentral:rRNA from 1 species
UACGUAGGGUGCGAGCGUUGUCCGGAAUUAUUGGGCGUAAAGGGCUCGUAGGCGGUCUGUUGCGUCGGGAGUGAAAACUCAGGGCUUAACCCUGAGCCUGCUUCCGAUACGGGCAGACUAGAGGUAUGCAGGGGAGAACGGAAUUCCUGGUGUAGCGGUGAAAUGCGCAGAUAUCAGGAGGAACACCGGAGUGGCAAAGGGCGGGUCUCUGGGGCAUUAACUGACGCUGAGGAGCGAAAGCGU